rnacentral:rRNA from 1 species
AUAUUGCACAAUGGGGGAAACCCUGAUGCAGCGACGCCGCGUGGGUGAAGGAGCGCUUCGGCGUGUAAAGCUCUAUCAGCAGGGAAGAAAAUGACGGUACCUGACUAAGAAGCCCCGGCUAACUACGUGCCAGCCGCCGCGGUAAUACGUAGGGGGCAAGCGUUAUCCGGAUUUACUGGGUGUAAAGGGAGCGUAGACGGCUGUGCAAGUCUGGAGUGAAAGCCCGGGGCUCAACCCCGGGACUGCUUUGGAAACUGUACGGCUGGAGUGCUGGAGAGGCAAGCGGAAUUCCUAGUGUAGCGGUGAAAUGCGUAGAUAUUAGGAGGAACACCAGUGGCGAAGGCGGCUUGCUGGACAGUAACUGACGUUGAGGCUCGAAAGCGUGGGGAGCAAACA